rnacentral:tRNA from 1 species
UCCCUGGUGGUCCAGUGGUUAAGACUCUGCGCUUCCUAUGCAAGGGGCACAGGUUUGAUCCCUGCUCAGGGAA